rnacentral:tRNA from 1 species
GGGCCCGUAGCUCAAACGGCAGAGCCGCGUCUGACAAACGUUACUAUACCAGUUCGAGUCUGGUCGGGCCCAC